rnacentral:lncRNA from 13 species
AUGUAUGUAAAAUUUCCGUUUUGUCAGUUUCACCGGAUUCAUCCCCAUCAUGCAGAAACAGAAGUUUCCAGCAGAUGGCGCCAGAGGCCGUCUUUUCUCCGCCUCCCCGCGCGCUCCUCGCCGUUUCCGGAUCAGCACGUUCUCUCGAGAAAACGACAUUUCUCUGUCCGCGCCAGGCGCGCGCCGCAGCGGAAAACCCCAGCAAGACGCCUGGCAAGCAGCACAGCCCCACGGGUUGCAGCCCUGGGCGUAAGACCAGCCGCCAGGAAUCCCGGCUUCCAAAUAGUUGAUGGGUUUCGCGCCAGCUCCGCUUUGAAGCAGCGGCCCUGCAGGACCGGGGGUCAGGCUCGUCCCUCCCACGGACCCCCGUGGAAGCAGCUGCCCAGACGUCUUGAGAAGAGUGUCUAUAUUCACCUACAAGUAAUCAUGAAAGCACUUCCCCCACCAGAUCAUGUCUUACCCUUGCAAGCUUUCCAGCUGUCUUGUUCCAUGUACAACACCAACUCACUAUUGCAGAGUCAGGAAGGAUCCCGACCAAGAUGCAACCUCCACAGCAGCUCAGAGUUCAAUAAAAUGCCAUUACUCGAGCAGCACUUACUGGAGCGGAACAGAACCGGCUGCCCACUGGCCCUUGGCCUCGCUGCCCUCACUGGAAGGACCAGAGUCCAGAGCCUGGCUGCAUAUUCAAGGACACCAGCCAGACAGUUCAGCAUCAGCAGGGGGUUGCAGCUCAUAAGGUCAUCGGGCCCAGGGCCCACUGCUGUGGUCGUGGAAUCAGCUGCGAUGUCAUCCCAGGUUGAUGACCUAGUCUGGACAGGAAGAGCUGUGGGUAUCGCCGAGGCUGUGCUUACGGUGCAUCAGUGGCACAGCACCUGUGCAUCCCAGCAAAGCCCAGAGUGA